rnacentral:rRNA from 1 species
GAUCAUGGCUCAGAUUGAACGCUGGCGGCAUGCCUUACACAUGCAAGUCGAACGGCAGCGGGCCUUCGGGUGCCGGCGAGUGGCGAACGGGUGAGUAAUGCAUCGGAACGUGCCAUUGAGUGGGGAUAACGUAGCGAAAGUUGCGCUAAUACCGCAUAUUCUGUGAGCAGGAAAGCAGGGGACCGCAAGGCCUUGCGCUCUUUGAGCGGCCGAUGUCAGAUUAGCUAGUUGGUGAGGUAAAGGCUUACCAAGGCGACGAUCUGUAGCGGGUCUGAGAGGAUGAUCCGCCACACUGGAACUGAGACACGGUCCAGACUCCUACGGGAGGCAGCAGUGGGGAAUUUUGGACAAUGGGGCAACCCUGAUCCAGCCAUGCCGCGUGAGUGAAGAAGGCCUUCGGGUUGUAAAGCUCUUUCGGCCGGGAAGAAAUCGCAUGGGUGAAUACCCUGUGUGGAUGACGGUACCGGAACAAGAAGCACCGGCUAACUACGUG